GUGUUUUGUUUUGUUUGGGACAAAGUACGACGGAGGUCUGCUGUAUUCCACUGGAAUUUUUGGAGUAACAGAUCCAGGGGCAGCCAUGGAGACAAAUGUUUUACUGCCCUUUGAACAGUCUCAAGAACCCUGUGCGUUUUGGAGCAGGAGAUGAAAGUGACAAGUAAUGAGAACUCUGGUGGAAGUGGAAUGUGUCCCUUUUAAGACAGUCUCUGAGCUGCUGAAAGUGUUGGAUCCAGAGGCGAGCCAAGAAAGCCUCUGUGUAAAUGCAAAUUACCUAGUUGAUGGGGAAAGGAGGAAACUGCCCAUAAGUAGCAGCACAAAGAAUCUGCAAAUAAUGAAUACAUCCCGUCAGCAAACAAGCUACUAGAAGACUCAAUUUAUGGCCCUCCAGGAAA